AUUGAACGCUGGCGGCAGGCCUAACACAUGCAAGUCGAACGAAGUCUUCGGACUUAGUGGCGGACGGGUGAGUAACACGUGGGAACGUGCCUUUAGGUUCGGAAUAACUCAGGGAAACUUGUGCUAAUACCGAAUGUGCCCUUCGGGGGAAAGAUUUAUCGCCUUUAGAGCGGCCCGCGUCUGAUUAGCUAGUUGGUGAGGUAAAGGCUCACCAAGGCGACGAUCAGUAGCUGGUCUGAGAGGAUGAUCAGCCACAUUGGGACUGAGACACGGCCCAAACUCCUACGGGAGGCAGCAGUGGGGAAUCUUGCGCAAUGGGCGAAAGCCUGACGCAGCCAUGCCGCGUGAAUGAUGAAGGUCUUAGGAUUGUAAAAUUCUUUCACCGGGGACGAUAAUGACGGUACCCGGGGAAGAAGCCCCGGCCAACUUCGUGCCAGCCGCCGCGGUAA
rnacentral:rRNA from 1 species